CAGUGUUGUCAGACAUUUCUCAAGGUCUGAACCCUACACCAUGGAUGGAAGUUAAGUCUGGAUUGGCAAACACAAAUCAUGUUCCAAGUUCUGCCUUCCACCUGAGUGAAAUACAUCACCGCUUUCCCUGCUCCCGCCGCCAUUAAAAUUGUGUUUGGCAUCUGACCACCAAGAUACAGAUAUUUCCUAGACUGUUUUGCAGCUAGGUACUUAGAUAGUAAUGAAGAUAGGGGCCACCAUUCCCUGUGAAAAUCAAGUGGGAAAGUCCUGAGUCCUUUAAUGACUUUACAGAGGACAGAAUAAACUCCUAUCAUAUUCA
rnacentral:lncRNA from 1 species